AAUAUCGUGGAGCAAUUGCGCCGCCUUCACUGUGAAGUGUCCCUUUUUUUAUCUGCUCUUAGAGAUGGAAGUCAUACCGAUUCUUGUCGUGAAACUCAAGGCAUGCUUAUGUUCAUUAAUUUAUAAUGUUUUUUGAAUUUUUAUUUUGACACCUUGAAAUUAAACAGUAAGCAGACAUGGACUUUGACGAUUAUGAAACUUUACCGACAAAUUCCACAGCGACUCACAUGGUUGCAGGAUCAUUCGCUGGAAUAAUGGAACAUUGUCUGAUGUAUCCUGUGGAUUCCGUGAAGACACGUAUGCAGAGCUUGAGACCCCAUCCAAAAGCAAAAUAUCGUAAUAUUCCUGAAGCUUUCUCAAAAAUGGUGCGUCAUGAAGGUUUGUUUCGUCCUGUUCGAGGGAUAUCUGCUGUAAUGAUAGCAGCUGGACCUGCUCAUGCAUUGCAUUUUUCAUGCUAUGAAAAAAUGAAGAGAAUUCUUAGCGGCACAGAAAAUGGUGUGGGUAGUCCAAUUGCUCAAGGAAUGGCUGGUGCAUUAUCUACAAUCCUUCAUGAUGCAGUUAUGAAUCCAGCUGAAGUUGUGAAACAACGAAUGCAAAUAUACGGAAGCCCUUACCUUAGCUGCACUGAUUGUUUUAGAAAAGUGAUUUAUUCAGAAGGUAUCCGGGCCUUGUAUCGAAGUUAUACUACUCAGUUAACUAUGAAUAUACCAUUUCAAAGCGUUCAUUUUAUGACCUAUGAAUUUUGUCAAGAUUUAUCAAAUCAUCAAAGGACUUACAAUCCGAUGGCUCAUAUGUUAUCAGGUGCUGUAUCCGGUGCUGUUGCUGCUGCUAUCACUAAUCCUUUAGAUGUUUGCAAAACAUUAUUAAAUACUCAAGAGCAACAGGUUAUUAGUUCACUUAAUACUAAACAGACCCAUAUUAGUGGAUUUAUAAAUGCAUUUUAUACAGUUUAUAGAUUUAGUGGAUUUAAAGGAUAUUUUAGAGGACUGAAAGCUCGAGUUAUAUAUCAAGUCCCAUCAGCAGCUAUAUCAUGGUCUGUGUAUGAAUUUUUCAAAUACACUCUUGCCUUUAAAUACCAAAAUCGCCAGCAUAGCUACAAACAAGACCAUGGUCCUCUGAUUGCACAUGCUAGUUCAAUUGAAAAUUCAAGUCCACCACCCAUCGCAGCAUUACCAGUGGCUUAUAGUAAAUGAGUUAAGAAAAUCUUCUCUUGGAUAGAAAGUGAAAUUCAGUUCACUGCAAUACCAAUAUUUUUCUGAAUCAUCAUGGUAAAUAUUCUGGCUAAUUUUGCAAACAUUUGUUCAUCAAGAGUCAGCAUCUGUAUGAAAUGGAAACGUCUGUUUUAAGAAAGAGCUAUACUAAUACCAUGUGAUAGUUUGGAACCACUUGUUAUCCAAGCAUGUGACUAAAUAAAAAUCAAUAAUUGUUCUGUUUGUGUAAUAGAAAUAAAAAUUAUUGUUUUUAAAUAAAUUUAUAAAAUGCA